rnacentral:rRNA from 1 species
GACGGCGGCGUCGCUUACGGCGUGUACUGUCUGGCUGGGCCUUACCUCUUGGUGAGCCGGCGUGCCCUUUAUUGGUGUGCGUUGGGGAACCAGGACUUUUACCUUGAGAAAAUUAGAGUGUUCAAAGCAGGCCUGUGCCUGAAUACAUUAGCAUGGAAUAAUAAAAUAGGACGUGCGGUUCUAUUUUGUUGGUUUCUAGAGUCGCCGUAAUGAUUAAUAGGGAUAGUUGGGACAAAAUUCAACUACUUAAUUA